UACGUAGGGGGCAAGCGUUGGUCCGGAAUCAUUGGGCGUAAAGAGCGUGUAGGCGGCCAGAUAAGUCCGCUGUGAAAUCUCGAGGCUCAACUUCGAGCUGUCGGUGGAAACUGUCUGGCUAGAGUCCGGAAGAGGAGAAUGGAAUUCCUGGUGUAGCGGUGAAAUGCGCAGAUAUCAGGAAGAACACCCGUGGCGAAGGCGGCUCUCUGGGACGGUACUGACGCUGAGACGCGAAAGCGUGGGGAGCGAACAGG
rnacentral:rRNA from 1 species